rnacentral:rRNA from 1 species
CGCGCACCUACUCGUGCGGUUCGACUGAGACAUUCAUGUCGAGAGAUGAGGUCGUUUGGGGUGAGUGAUAUCGGGGCACGUGCGAGACACGCGGGGACAACCGCCUCCUAUAGAGAGGAUAUCCUUUCGAGAAGGCCGGGAAUCCAAACCUCAUAAACGCUUUGGGUCUCUCGUGAUAAACAUGAACCAAAGUUUUUUCGUUAUUAGAUGGGCCCGCGUCGCAUUAGCUAGUUGGUGAGGUAACGGCCCUCCAAGACGACGAUCAGUAGCCGACCUGAGAGGGUAAUCUCCCACAUCGGAAGUGAGACACCGUCCAGAAUCAUACGGGAGGCAGCAGUGGGGAAUAUUGCCCAAUGGGCGAAAACCUGAAGCAGCAACGCCGCGUGAAGGAAGAAGGCCUUAGGGUAGUAAAGUUCUGUUUUUUGGGACGAAAAUAAAGGUUCCACACGAGGAAGACACCGCGAAAAACUAUGCCCCAGCCGCCGUUAUAAUAGGGGGGGGACGAGUGUUUUGGAAUUUUUGGGGGAAAAGAGAGGGCGGGGGGUGUUUAAUAUGGGUGGGGAAAACCCCAGGUUCACCUCCGUAGUGCCCUUCAAAAAGGGCAUGUAGAGAGCGCGGGAGGGGAAAGGGAAUUUCAGAGUGUAGGGGAAAAGGGUGUAGAUUAUGGAGGAAACCCCAGGGGAAAGGGGGCCUCUGGGGCAUAUAAGAGACUGAGACAUAAAAGAGUGUGGGGCAAACACGAUAAGAUACCCCGGGGGAUCCCGCGCUAAACGAUGAAAACUAGGGGUAUGGGGCCUGCAAUCCUUCGGUGCCGCAGUAACGCAUUAAUAUCCGCCUGGAGACCGAUUG